rnacentral:rRNA from 1 species
GUUUUUGUUCAGUACAAAUAAUAUGCUGUCUAAGUAAUACAUCUAACUAAAGGACAAAAAGACCCUUUGAAGCUUUAUAGGGAUAAAACUUUGAUUGCAUUUUUUAGCUUAGGCCGCUCAAAGAUCUAUAUCUGAGGUGUGCCUUAAUAAAUUUAUUUAUUGGUCUUGCAUA